GACGAACGCUGGCGGCAUGCCUAACACAUGCAAGUCGAACGAAACCUUCGGGUCUAGUGGCGCACGGCUGCUUAACGCGUGGGAACCUGCCCGUAGGUUCGGAAUCACUCCCCGAGAGGGAUGCUAAUACAACAUGAUCUCUUCGGGCCAAAGAUUUCUCGCCAUGGGAUGGGCCCGCGUUGGAUUCGCUGGUUGGUAGUGUACAAGCAUGCCAUGGCGACGUUCCAUAGCUGGUGUGAGAGGAUGGUCUGCCACACUGGGACUGAGACACGGCCUAGACUCCUACGGAAGGGAGCAGAGGGGAAUAUUAGACACGGGGGGAAGGUCUGACCCAGCCAUGCCGCGUGAGUGAUGAAGGCCUUAGGGUUGUAAAGCUCUCUUACCCGGGAUGAUAAUGACAGUACUGGGUGAAGAAGCACCGGCUAACUCCGUG
rnacentral:rRNA from 1 species